UACGAAGGGUGCAAGCGUUACUCGGAAUUACUGGGCGUAAAGCGUGCGUAGGUGGUUUGUUAAGUCUGAUGUGAAAGCCCUGGGCUCAACCUGGGAACUGCAUUGGAUACUGGCUUACUAGAGUGCGGUAGAGGGUAGCGGAAUUCCCGGUGUAGCAGUGAAAUGCGUAGAUAUCGGGAGGAACAUCUGUGGCGAAGGCGGCUACCUGGACCAGCACUGACACUGAGGCACGAAAGCGUGGGGAGCAAAC
rnacentral:rRNA from 1 species